GAAGAGAUAUUUACUUUUGUUGAAAUGGGAUGGAGAAUAUGAGGGGAAAGGUGCGAUAAUUUGAGGGGAAACAAUCUGUUCCGAUUUCUCAGUCCUGAGAGAUUUCAGGAAUCCCAAAUUCUUCUUUUGAAUUUUGAAAUCAACAGAUGUUUCCAUUUUAGUUUUGAGUCGCAAUCUUUGAUUUUCUUAUCCGAUCAAAAGAUCAAACAAUCUGUUGAACUCAUUUUUGUUGUUGUUGUUGUUGUGGUUCAUAUUUUUAUUUUUAUUUUUUUUGGGAGCAACAACUGAUAAUAUUCUUAGAGUGAGAUAAGAUUCUGAUUGUGUUUGGGCUUGAAAGUGAUUGUAUUUAAACUUUCUGAGCUUUUGCUAUUAGUUCAAGUAAACUUUGUUUUGAUGCUUUCUGGGUUCCGUAUAUGAGAAACUUCGUUUCCAUUUGUAGCGAUUUCUUAGAAAAUUGGGUUUGAUAAUAUGAUAUGGAGCAUAUCCUUGGCUGACCGAAACUGGGUUUGAGUAACUGGAGAAGAAAUUUUGGAGAAUUUUCUUUUUCCCUUAGCCAAUCGCACUCCAGAGUUCUUUAAAGUUCGGACUUUCAUAUUGAUCUUUUGAGAGUUUUCCUACUUUUUUCUUUUACCUAAACUAAUUUCUUCCAUUUCCCAUAUGGAGAUUACUCGAUCAAACAAGUGUCAUCUGCCACUCCUUUCCAUUUCGAGAUUCUACCUGUAAAUUCGUUUGGGGAAUUCCUCUUCUUUCUUUUUUUUUUUUUUUUCCUGAAUAAAAUUUCCCCCAAAAGUGUUUUCACUCAUCUGGAGUAGAAGAACCGAUGGCCGUGUCUUUAAGCCGUUUUUCACUGUGGUUUUGGAAUGGGAAGGAGAAGGAGACUGUUGCAAACGGGUCACCCCCAAAUUCUUCAUCUGAGUUUGGUAAUGGUCUGAGAGAACCGGAGAGUCUUAAGUUCAAGAGGGUGGAUUUGCCUUCAUCAUCAAAGAAAGUUAAUAAGCAGAAAUGGCAAAGUAAGAAAGAAACAACGAUUGAGUGGGAAUACGAUUUUGUGAUGGUACCAUCUAGUGGUGAUGAUGACAUGCAAAUGGCUGAUUCUGGUGAUGAGGCUGAUUGGUCUAUUGGUUGGUUGGAGCCUCACGGUCCUGGAUUUCAGAGUGAUGACAGUUUUGCUGUUCUGGUCCCUUCCUAUAGCAAUCGUUGCAAGGAGGUGGUGGAAGGUUCAAACGUGGAGCUUUUGGCUGCCAUAAAAAAACUUCAAAAUGAAUUCUCUCCUGGAAGCAACAUCAGGCAACUUUUGCAUCAUGACACCAAGUGUAUCAUUGGAAAGCAUCAGAUUUUAGAAUAAAAUGAAAAAUCAUGGUCCUAAGGAAACAUAUGGUGGUGGCAGCUGGUCAGAUGUAGGGUGAUAGAUUUACAGCCAAAUUCCUCCUCUUUGAUGUGCUGUUUGGUAAAAAAAUUUUUCCCAGGAAGUUUCUAUUCAAAUAGUGAUUUAUGUUCUGUUAAUUGUCUUCCCUAUUUUAUGGAAUCAACUAGAGUUUGAGUCGAUGUUAUUUCCGGGUGCGUUUGUGUUUCUGAACGAUGCUUCAUUCUGGGCUUUGUUUUAAACGGCUAUCAACAAGGAAUGAGCUUUUAAAGUUGCAGAAAAAUGACUGGCGUUACAAUACUUCAGAUGUAAUGGCUUUGAUGACCAAGAGCAAGAAGUAUAUGGAACUGUGGCUUUCAUUGCUGCAAAAUUCGAUAGCCUGAACUACUUUCGGCGACGACGGGUACGAAGUUGAAGGGCAGAUGCAUAUUACCCCAAAGUUUAGUAUCCUAUUGACGAGCAGUUUAUAAAAUAGAAUAACAGACCCAAGUCUUGUUUUGUGCAUAUCAAGAUCUUUCUUCCCCUGCUCCUAUUUUGAAUACAUAAUUUGAUUGAUGAUCUGGAAAUCAUUGGGAAGGAGAUUUUCUUUCUUUUCUUUUUUUUUUUUUUUUUUUUUUCCUUCACCCCAUAUUGUAUACAAUAUAAGGUACACAGUCCAUAUACUAACUACUACCGUUUCAUUUCUCCUAUAUCCUACAAAUAUUUCUUAAUGGAACAUUACCCUUUGUAACUCUCUAAUUAUCUCCUAUGGACUUGUUCAUCCUUUCCAAGAG